AUGCUGUGCUAUCCUCCAUUUCGAGCUACUAUAUGGCUUGUAUCAAGUGGAGUAAGGGCAACCUGGAGAGAAUUGACAAAGUGGAAUUUUCCGUGGCAAAAGAAACCUAAUAGGCAGAAAGCCGAUUGUUUAGUGGCUUGGGAGCAAGUGAUACUGCCUAAGAAGAGUGGCGGGCUCGGCAUCCAUGACAUGGUUGCGCAUAAUGAUGCAAUGUUCUGCAAGUUUGUGAGCAAAAUCAUUGAAGGAUCGUCUGUGCCAUGUUACCACUGGUUCCAAGCCAGAUACUUGAGCAGGAAUAUCUCCCACAAUUCACGGGGACUGGACACGCCUCCUUGA
rnacentral:rRNA from 1 species